GUACUCGCUUCGGCAGCACACAUACUAGAAAUUGGAACGAUACAGAGGUUAGCAUGGCCCUGCGCAAGGAUGACACAAAUUCGUGAAGCAUUCCACAUUAAA
rnacentral:snRNA from 1 species